CUCACACCGGUCUGAACUCAAAUCAUGUAAAACUUUAAAGGUCGAACAGACCUUCUCUUAUAGUCUCUACUCUAUAAAGAACCUUUAAUUCAACAUCGAGGUCGCAAACUCUCUUGUCGAUAAGAACUCUCAAAGAAAAUUACGCUGUUAUCCCUAAAGUAACUUAAUCUUAAAUCCCCUUUUAGGAUCAAUAAUUCAAAUAUUAUUGUAAGAACAAAAGACAGUUAUCCUUUCCUUAUAUCCUUGCCGCCCCAACAAAACAAUUUAAAAUAGUAACCUUAAAAUAAAAUUUAUCUCCACCUUAAAAUAUAAAGUUUUAUAGGGUCUUAUCGUCCCCUUAGAUCAUUUAAGCCUUUUCACUUAAAAGUUAAAUUCAAUAUAUUAAUUUAAGACAGAUUAUUUCUUGUCCAACCAUUCAUUCUAGCCUUCAAUUAAAAAACUAAUGAUUAUGCUACCUUUGCACGGUCAUAAUACCGCGGCCUUUCAGUUCUCCAAC
rnacentral:rRNA from 1 species